AGCAGCCGCGGUAAUUCCAGCCCCAAUAGCGUAUAUUAAAGUUGUUGCAGUUAAAAAGCUCGUAGUUGAAUUUCGGGGUCAGCAAGUUGGUCGUGCCACCGGUAUGUACUGGCUUUGCUGAUUCCUCCUUCUUGUAGAACCGUAAUGCCAUUAAGUUGGUGUUGCGGGAAAACAGGACUGUUACUUUGAAAAAAUUAGAGUGUUUAAAGCAGGCUAACGCUUGAAUACAUUAGCAUGGAAUAAUAAAAUAGGACAACGAUCCUAUUUUGUUGGUUUCUAGGAUUGACGUAAUGAUUAAUAGGGAUAGUUGGGGGCAUUAGUAUUCAAUUGUCAGAGGUGAAAUUCUUGGAUUUAUUGAAGACUGACUACUGCGAAAGCAUUUGCCAAGGAUGUUUUCAUUAAUCAAGAACGAAAGUUAGGGGAUCGAAGACGAUCAGAUACCGUCGUAGUCUUAACCAUAAACUAUGCCGACUAGGGAUCGGAUGAUGUUAAUUUUAUAAUGACUCAUUCGGCGCCUUAC
rnacentral:rRNA from 1 species